CAAGUUUGCUUUAAUCAAGAAGUUGCUAAGAACAGAACACUGGGAAGGAUGAGGAGGUUACAAUGAUCACAUACUGAACUGGAGUCAACAAUAUACUCCCUGGAGAAAACCAACACAGAGGAAACAUAUUGCAUUGGGAAGUCUCAGCAGGUGCCAGAGCAUCACCCCAGCGAGAUGAUUGAGCGUGCAGAGGAGGCAAGAAGGGGCAGAAAGCACCUCUUAAAAUAGUAAUAAAACCACAGUUAUCUUCUGUGGAAGGAAUGCUCAGCAACCAGGUUAUUAACAUCCUGCAGCGAGUCAUCACUUGAGCCUGAAGUUUGUGUGGAUGAAAUAAGGAGUAUAUGAAACUGGAUGAAAUUAAGUUCUCCAUCUAUUCAUUUGGGACCCUGAUGAAUGA
rnacentral:lncRNA from 1 species